rnacentral:rRNA from 1 species
AUUGAACGCUGCGGCAGGCUUAACACAUGCAAGUCGAGCGAUCGCCGGACGGGUGCGUAAUGCUUACGAGUCUGCCUAUUAGCGUGGGACGACGUCUCGCAAGUGGUGCCAAUACCACAUACUAAUACAUGAGCCUAAGUCGGAUUAGCUAGUUGGGGGGGUAAAGGCCUACCAAGGCGACGAUCGGUAGCGGGUCUGAGAGGAUGAUCCGCCACACUGGGACUGAGACACGGCCCAGACUCCUACGGGGGGCAGCAGUGGGGAAUAUUGGGCAAUGGGGGGAAGCCUGACCCAGCCAUGCCGCGUGUGUGAAGAAGGCCUUAGGGUUGUAAAGCACUUUAAGCGAGGACGCGUUACUCGAAGAAUAAGCACCGGCUAACUCUGUGCCAGCAGCCGCGGUAAUAC